GAUGAACGCUGGCGGCGUGCCUAAUACAUGCAAGUCGAGCGAACGGACGAGAAGCUUGCUUCUCUGAUGUUAGCGGCGGACGGGUGAGUAACACGUGGAUAACCUACCUAUAAGACUGGGAUAACUUCGGGAAACCGGAGCUAAUACCGGAUAAUAUUUUUAACCGCAUGGUUCAAAAGUAAAAGACGGUCUUGCUGUCACUUAUAGAUGUAUCCGCGCUGCAUUAGCUAGUUGGUAAGGUAACGGCUUACCAAGGCAACGAUGCAUAGCCGACCUGAGAGGGUGAUCGGCCACACGGGAACUGAGACACGGUCCAGACUACUAAGGGAGGCAGCAGUAGGGAAUCUUACGCAAUGGGCGAAAGCCUGACGGAGCAACGCCGCGUGAGUGAUGAAGGUCUUCGGAUCGUAAAACUCUGUUAUUAGGGAAGAACAUAUGUGUAAGUAACUGUGCACAUCGUGACGGUACCUAAUCAGAAAGCCACGGCUAACUACGUG
rnacentral:rRNA from 1 species